UACAGAGGGUGCAAGCGUUGUUCGGAAUUACUGGGCGUAAAGGGCGUGUAGGCGGCCUUGCAAGUCAGAUGUGAAAUCCCGGGGCUUAACUCCGGAAGUGCAUUUGAAACUGCAAGGCUAGAGUGCUGUAGAGGAUGGCGGAAUACCCAGUGGAGAGGUGAAAUUCGUAGAUAUUGGGUAGAACACCGGUGGCGAAGGCGGCCAUCUGGGCAGCAACUGACGCUGAGGCGCGAGAGCGUGGGGAGCAAACAGG
rnacentral:rRNA from 1 species